rnacentral:rRNA from 1 species
GACGAACGCUGGCGGCGUGCUUAACACAUGCAAGUCGAACGGAAAGGCCCUGCUUUUGUGGGGUGCUCGAGUGGCGAACGGGUGAGUAACACGUGAGUAACCUGCCCUUGACUUUGGGAUAACUUCAGGAAACUGGGGCUAAUACCGGAUAGGAGCUCCUGCUGCAUGGCGGGGGUUGGAAAGUUUCGGCGGUUGGGGAUGGACUCGCGGCUUAUCAGCUUGUUGGUGGGGUAGUGGCUUACCAAGGCUUUGACGGGUAGCCGGCCUGAGAGGGUGACCGGCCACAUUGGGACUGAGAUACGGCCCAGACUCCUACGGGAGGCAGCAGUGGGGAAUAUUGCACAAUGGGCGGAAGCCUGAUGCAGCAACGCCGCGUGCGGGAUGACGGCCUUCGGGUUGUAAACCGCUUUCGCCUGUGACGAAGCGUGAGUGACGGUAAUGGGUAAAGAAGCACCGGCUAACUACGU